rnacentral:rRNA from 1 species
AUUGAACGCUGGCGGCAUGCCUUACACAUGCAAGUCGAACGGCAGCACGGGUGCUUGCACCUGGUGGCGAGUGGCGAACGGGUGAGUAAUACAUCGGAACAUGUCCUGUAGUGGGGGAUAGCCCGGCGAAAGCCGGAUUAAUACCGCAUAUGAUCUACGGAUGACAGCGGGGGACCUUCGGGCCUCGCGCUAUAGGGUUGGCCGAUGGCUGAUUAGCUAGUUGGUGGGGUAAAGGCCUACCAAGGCGACGAUCAGUAGCUGGUCUGAGAGGACGACCAGCCACACUGGGAGUGAGACAGGGCCCAGACUCCUGCGGGAGGCAGCAGUGGGGAAUUUUGGGCAAGGGGCGAAAGCCUGAUCCAGCAAUGCCGGGUGUGGGAAGAAGGCCUUCGGGUGGUAAAGCACUGUUGUCCGGAAAGAAAUCCUUGGCCCUAAUACGGUCGGGGGAUGACGGUACCGGAAGAAUAAGCACCGGCUAACUACGUG